rnacentral:rRNA from 1 species
GUUACCUACGGGACGCAGCAGUGGGGGAUAUUGCACAAUGGGGGAAACCCUGAUGCAGCGACGCCGCGUGGGUGAAGAAGCGCCUCGGCGCGUAAAGCCCUGUCAGCAGGGAAGAAAAUGACGGUACCUGAAGAAGAAGCCCCGGCUAACUAAGUGCCAGCAGCCGCGGUAAUACGUAGGGGGCAAGCGUUAUCCGGAUUUACUGGGAGUAAAGGGGGCGCAGACGGCGAUGCAAGCCAGGAGUGAAAGCCCGGGGCCAAACCCCGGGACUGCUCUUGGACCUGCGUGGCUAGAGUGCUGGAGGG